GACGAACGCUGGCGGCGUGCUUAAUACAUGCAAGUCGAACGGAAAGGCCAUGCUUUUGUUGGUUGCUCGAGUGGCGAACGGGUGAGUAACACGUGUGUAACCUGUCCUUUACUUUGGGGUAACUUCAGGAAAAUGGGGCUAUUACCGCGUAUGAGAUUCUGCUGCAUGGUGGGGGUUGGAGAGUUUCGGCGGUUGGGGAUGGACUCGCGGCUUAUCAGCUUGUUGGUGGGGUAGUGGAUUAACAAGGAUUUGACGGGUAGCCGGCCUGAGAGGGUGACCGGCCCCAGUGGGACUGAGAUAGGGCCCAGACUGCUACGGGAGGAAGGAGGGGGGAAUAUUGCACAAUGCGCGGCAGGCUGGUGGAGCAACGCCGCGUGCGGGAUGACUGUCUUCGGGUUGUAACCGGCGUGAGCCUGUGACGAACAGUCAGUGACGGUAAUGUAUAAAGAAGCAACGGCUAACUACGUG
rnacentral:rRNA from 1 species